AUACGGAGGGUGCAAGCGUUACUCGGAAUCACUGGGCGUAAAGCGCGCGCAGGCGGCCAUUUAAGUUGGAUGUGAAAGCCUACGGCUCAACCGUAGAACUGCAUCCAAAACUAUUUGGCUAGAGUGUGAGAGAGGAAGAUGGAAUUAGUUGUGUAGGGGUAAAAUCCGUAGAGAUAACUAGGAAUACCAAAAGCGUAGGCAAUCUUCUGGAACAUUACUGACGCUGAGGCGCGAAAGCGUGGGGAGCAAACAGAAUUAGAAACCCCAGUAGUCC
rnacentral:rRNA from 1 species